rnacentral:rRNA from 1 species
AUUGAACGCUGGCGGCAGGCCUAACACAUGCAAGUCGAGCGGAUGAAGGGAGCUUGCUCCUGGAUUCAGCGGCGGACGGGUGAGUAAUGCCUAGGAAUCUGCCUGGUAGUGGGGGAUAACGUCCGGAAACGGGCGCUAAUACCGCAUACGUCCUGAGGGAGAAAGUGGGGGAUCUUCGGACCUCCCGCUAUCAGAUGAGCCUAGGUCGGAUUAGCUAGUUGGUGGGGUAAAGGCCUACCAAGGCGACGAUCCGUAACUGGUCUGAGAGGAUGAUCAGUCACACUGGAACUGAGACACGGUCCAGACUCCUACGGGAGGCAGCAGUGGGGAAUAUUGGACAAUGGGCGAAAGCCUGAUCCAGCCAUGCCGCGUGUGUGAAGAAGGUCUUCGGAUUGUAAAGCACUUUAAGUUGGGAGGAAGGGCAGUAAGUUAAUACCUUGCUGUUUUGACGUUACCAACAGAAUAAGCACCGGAUAACUUCGUG